CACGUAGGGGGCAAGCGUUGUCCGGAUUUAUUGGGCGUAAAGAGCUCGUAGGCGGUCUGUCGCGUCGAUCGUGAAAACUUGGGGCUUAACCCUGAGCUUGCGGUCGAUACGGGCAGGCUCGAGUUCGGUAGGGGAGACUGGAAUUCCUGGUGUAGCGGUGAAAUGCGCAGAUAUCAGGAGGAACACCGGUGGCGAAGGCGGGUCUCUGGGCCGAUACUGACGCUGAGGAGCGAAAGCGUGGGGAGCGAACAGG
rnacentral:rRNA from 1 species